rnacentral:rRNA from 1 species
GACGAACGCUGGCGGCGUGCCUAACACAUGCAAGUCGAACGAAGUGGCGAACGGGUGAGUAACGCGUAAUCCACCUGCCCUUCAGAGGGGGACAACAGUUGGAACCGACUGCUAAUACCGCAUACUGAAGUAGGGGAUUGCGUCUGAUUAGCUAGUUGGGGGGGUAACGGCCCACCAAGGCGAUGAUCAGUAGCCGGGCUGGGGGGAGGAACGGCCAAAUUGGGACUGGAACAAGGCCCAGACUCCUACGGGGGGGAGCAGGGGGGAAACUUCCGAAAUGGACGAAAGUCUGACGGAGCAACGCCGGGGGAGGGAUGACGGCCUUCGGGUUGGAAAGCUCUUUUAAGCGGGACGCGGUACCGGAAUAGAAAGCAACGGCUAACUACGUGCCAGCAGCCGCGGUAAUUC